rnacentral:rRNA from 1 species
AUCCAAGAUAAAAUCACAAAGAUAGCUGAAUCCGCCGCUUCUUUUACUUCAAUGAAGCAAGGAGAGGUGACAAUCAAGGAAGUCAUGGAUAUGGUCUUGGAAUUUGGGGCCGUGCACGGUUCCGAUGAGCAUGAUAUUGCCACGCAGUUAUUUGUGAAGAAGGACCAACGGGAAAUGUUCAAGACCCUUCCUAAAGAGUUUAGGUUCAAUUGGCUUAAGAGGAGAUACAACGACAAGUAUGGAAAUUGA